rnacentral:rRNA from 1 species
UACAGAGGGGGCAAGCGUUGUUCGGAAUUACUGGGCGUAAAGGGCGCGUAGGCGGCCUGCUAAGUCGAACGUGAAAUCCCCGGGCUCAACCCGGGAACUGCGUCCGAUACUGGCAGGCUUGAAUUCGGGAGAGGGAUGUGGAAUUCCAGGUGUAGCGGUGAAAUGCGUAGAUAUCUGGAGGAACACCGGUGGCGAAGGCGGCAUCCUGGACCGAUAUUGACGCUGAUGCGCGAAAGCCAGGGGAGCAAACGGGG